rnacentral:rRNA from 1 species
AUGCUCCUGGGACGCAGCAGUGGGGGAUAUUGCACAAUGGGGGGAACCCUGAUGCAGCGACGCCGCGUGGGUGAAGAAGCGCCUCGGCGCAUAAAGCCCUGUCAGCAGGGAAGAAAAUGACGGUACCUGAAGAAGAAGCCCCGGCUAACUACGUGCCAGCAGCCGCGGUAAUACGUAGGGGGCAAGCGUUAUCCGGAUUUACUGGGUGUAAAGGGGGCGCAGACGGCGAUGCAAGCCAGGAGUGAAAGCCCGGGGCCCAACCCCGGGACUGCUCUUGGAACUGCGUGGCUGGAGUGCAGCAGGGG